UCAAGGUAACCAGGGAAACCAAGAGACCAACCAGGAAACCAAGAGACCAAUCGGGAAACCAAGAGACUAACCGGGAAACCAAGAGACCAACCGGGAAACCAAGAGACCAACCGGGAAACCAAGAGACCAACCGGGGAAACAGAGACCAUGUUCUGGUUCGAGUCUCAAGGUCUCCUACAGGUUCAUGUUUUGAAAGCUUGUCCCCAGCUGGGGGCUCUAAGCUGCUGCUCAGCUCACAGGGGAGGGUGAACCAGCGAGACCUCCUUAGCUUAAACUUCUUCCCUCGAAAACUGUGAGCUAUAGAAGCUUAUUUUCAUUAUAAGCCUAUAGAAGGACAGGGAAGAAGGACGCUUCACUCUUUGCCUGCUGGCUCUCACCAUUCGAGCAAGUCAUCUAUUGGAUUCUUGGAACUUCCACUUCAUUAGUCAUUGUUGGAUUAGCUAGACCACAAUCUUUACAACAACUAUUGUAAUGAAGUAUUUGGACCACUAAGUGUUGAAUGACAACUUUAAGAAGUAAUUGAAGCUGGGUGUGGUUUCCUGGCUGUCAUCUCCACACUGAGGAGGCUGAGGCAGGAGGAUUAAGAGUUUGAGACUGCACAUCAAGAUCUUGUCUUAAAAAGAAAAACAUAAUUAUGCAAAUACAAAGUCAAAUUGUACUCUGUGGACCUAAUUAUU